ACCCAGUAGACAGAGUAGACAGAAAUUAACUUGUAACUGAUUCUUUUUGGACUUUGAAUGAGCUGAGAGGCAAACAUUGCUUGAAAAAGGCUGUCCAGGUGCUGCAGCCCAUCCAUCUGCUGAAUGUUGCCAAGUAACAGCCAUCCAUGGAACAUGGAAAAAUGAAUUCACCCGGCCAGGCCCAAAUUGUCGACCCACAGAACAUGAGAUGCAGAAGCUCUAACCAAGGAUUCCUAGAGAGAAAGAGUAGAGCCAUGAGACGAAGGGAGCCUGGGUCCCUAAAUCACCAUGUCGGAGCUCUUCAGCGAAAAGCUGACGCUGAGCUGCUACGUGAGCAAGAGACACCUUGCCCAGCUAUAGUGCAGUAAUAUCAUCAUGGCUCACUGCAAUCUCGACUUCUCCAGCUCAAACAAUCCUCCCACCUCAGCCUCCCAAGCAGUUGGGACUACAGGCACGUGUCAUUACACCCAGUUACAGAAAGCUUUUCAUGGUUCACUGACUGAGGACAAUCAACCCCUUCAUAAUCCAUAACCCAAAGAUUGAACUGUCUGAGAACACCAGAGAAAGACUGCUCCUGCCAUCCACAUUGCAGCAAACCUUCAGGACCUUGAACCUUGGGUUCAUAGUCUUACAACUCAGAAGCAUCCCUCCACACUCUCAAAACUGGACAUCCUUGGGAACCCUUAAGGUAAAGCUAACCAGGGAAGAUUUUCUGCCCAGAAGAUGGCAUCCUUUUCCCCAAGAUCACAGAAGCUUUUUCCCAAGAUCACAGAUCAAGACUUCUCUAGUACCAUGAGACUCUUAUCUUUGAAUUUUUCCCCUUGCUAUGCCUCUAUAAACAAUAGAAGUAAAAAUGGAAUCUGUUGUGUGCACUCAUGGGGUAUACUUUUAUUUGUGAAGGAUGCUGCAGCCAUGCAGACUUAUACAUGGAUAACAGAUAUGGUUUGGCUCUGUGUCCCCACCCAAAACUCAUGUUGAAUUGUAAUCCCCAGUGUUUGUGAGGACUGGUGGGAGGUGAUUGGAUCAUGGUUGUGGUUUCUAAUGGUUUAACGUGAUCCCUUUAGUACUGUCUUGUGAUAGAGUUCUCAUGAGGUCUGGUUGUUUAAAAGUGUGUGGAACCUUCCUGUUCACUCUUUCUCCUGCUCUGACAAGUGAAGAUGUGACUGCUUUUCCUUCAACUUCUGCCAUGAUUGUAAAUUUCCUGAGGCCUCUUCAGCCAUGCUUCCUGUACAACCUGCAGAACUGUGAGUCAAUUAAACCACUUUUUUUUUAUAAA
rnacentral:lncRNA from 10 species